GUGCUCACUUUGGCAGCACCUACACUAACACUGGAACGACAGCGAGAAGGUUAGCAUGGUUCCUGUGCAAGGAUGACAUGCAAAUUUGAAGCGCUCCAUAUUUUA